UCAGCAGAAACACUAGCAACAACGCAGGCACCAGACCAAGCCAAGAACAAGAAAUGGAAAUGGCAGAGGGCAAACCGAAUAACCGAUACCUUAUGAAAGCGAUCGAUCUACGAGGAACUAAGAUGAGGCUGCCAAAGUUUUGAGUAUUCCACAUGAAACAGCGAAUAUCGCUAAAGUCGGAGUCAGAGUCAGAGACGCCUGACAUCGUCGCACCGACUACUCUGAAAACACACACAUGGAGAACUCAGAGCAACGUCCAACGAACAGGCAGCCAACCGACCCGACCCAACAUUAAAGUUAAAGUAAAGUUGGAAUUUGUGCCUCAACAGCCGCACUGUCCUCCGCUUCCCUACCCGGCCCAUGGGCAAUCUUCCUGCUUUUCGUAUCCUCCCUCCAAGCCGCUUGUAGUAAUCAGAAUAAACGAAAAUUCGCUUAAGCGUCGAACAGUGGUGCGAAAUGCAAUGGCCAUGGCAAAUGGAAAAAGUUCUAACCAAAUGGGGAGUUUUUAAGAAACUAUGUGGAUGAUGUUAGGAUAAUAGAUAUGAGUAUGAGUAAAAUUCUUAUAGAUCCUUUUUAAAUCUCUAAUUAUAAGCUCUAUUUAUUUUGCAUAUGUAUAUAUAUUUAAGAAUUCAUACAAAAAUGAUUCCCAUUACUUCGAUUUCGCAGAGAUAUAUGGUUGGUCUCAACCUCCAACCCGUUAACCACAUCGUACCCUCAAUUUGCCGACAAUCUUUAUCCGAAACCACACAACCAAAAGCUCGACCCACUGUCUCCUCUUCAAGCACUUCGUCAGCACUUCGGCAGUGGAGACGGUGCAGGGGAAAAGGCAAAGCGCAAAUGUCAAGACAAACGAAUGAACAGGCGAACCGAGCAACGAACGAACGUAAGAGCGAACGCAACGGAACGAACGCCAAGGAGUGGGUGGUUGGCAGUGGCAGGCACAGCAUUGAGUGCUAAGAGGGAUAGGAAUGGAGUUGGAGUGUAGUAGAGUGUGCGAUGACCCCCUACACACCAGUUCUCCUCUCUAUCCAUACGUUUUCUACCAUUCAUUUUGUUGCGAUAAAAGACCACACCACUGUGACAACAACACAUUUGCCGCUGCAGUAAGAUCCAAUGAGGGUUUCUCCCAUUUGGAAGAACCAAAGCUGCUACUUCUUCUGUUGCUGCUGUCUCUAUUAGACCGAAAGCUCAGUUGGUUCCAAAAGACAGACACAACCUGCAAAACAACAGCAACUAUGGUCCAAAGGUGUACUUAGGCAAGGGGAGGAAUUCCCAAAAGCGAUGCCAUAUUACUUGCCAUGUUUAAGUUUUGAAUGAGAGAGUACAGGCGU